rnacentral:rRNA from 1 species
GACGAACGCUGGCGGCGUGCUUAACACAUGCAAGUCGAACGGAAAGGCCCUGCUUUUGUGGGGUGCUCGAGUGGCGAACGGGUGAGUAACACGUGAGUAACCUGCCCUUGACUUUGGGAUAACUUCAGGAAACUGGGGCUAAUACCGGAUAGGAGCUCCUGCUGCAUGGUGGGGGUUGGAAAGUUUCGGCGGUUGGGGAUGGACUCGCGGCUUAUCAGCUUGUUGGUGGGGUAGUGGCUUACCAAGGCUUUGACGGGUAGCCGGCCUGAGAGGGUGACCGGCCUCAUUGGGACUGAGAUACGGCGCAGACGCCAACGGGAGGCAGCAGGGGGGAGUAUUGCACAGUGGGCGGAAGCCUGAUGCAGCAGCGCCGCGUGCGGAAUAACGGCCUUCGGGUGGUAAACCGCUUUCGCCUGUGACGAAGCGUGAGUGACGGUAAUGGGUAAAGAAGCACCGGCUAACUACGUG